CACGCAUCCCGGAAGAAGUGCGCUGCGGGGUGGCUGACGUGAGCGGUUUGGGAGUUUGGCUUUCUUUUCUGCAGUUUGAGUGUGGCGUCUGCCGGGUUCUUCCCUGGCUAACUCCCCUGUUCCCCCAGCAGGCCGAUCUCACCCUAUUCGCGUUCACAGCAAGAGGCCCCUUCGGCCUCGCGCGGUACCUGUUCUAUUACACACGAAUUGGCACUUCAUGGAAUUAGGCAAAAAAGAACAAUCAGUGAAGAAAUUGAAGAUCUGACAAUAUCAACCACCAUGACCUAACUAUGAAUGGAGCAGUACCCCCCCCCCGCCAAAGCUGCAGCUUGGCAGAAAUCCUUCACAGAAGUAAUGACCUGAACUUGCAGAAGAGGGAGCUAAAGCUCAGAGAAGUUAAACAAACUCAAGAGAAUGUUACCAGUGGUGGAAGCAGGAUCCCAGCCCAGAUCUGUGCAGCCUGUAGCCGUGGAAAUUCAGAUCUUGUUGAAUGAAUGUCUGCUGGUUCCAGUUCCUCGUGCCUGAUGUCCAAACCCAUGAAUCUACCUACCUACCACCCCACUAGCCUGCCACCUGUUGGACACCUAGUGAUGCCUCGCCUCUGCAUUCAAGGAACCAGAGUUGGUGUUUUGCUGAUGAAGAUGCUUUACUCUGCCGACUCUCCCCUUCUCCAAACCAUGGCAGGAAGAUGUGCAUUUUCGUCUUGAAGAUAUUCUAAGCCAAGAAGGCAAGGCUCCUAUAUUUCUUCAGAUGCUUUUAUUUUUUUAUUUUUAAUUUAUUUUUAAUUUUUUUUUAACGUUUAUUUAUUUUUGAGACAGAGAGAGACAGAGCAUGA